GGGCCGUUAACUCAGUCGGUAGAGUACCUGCCUUUUAAGCAGGGAGUCGUGGGUUCAAGUCCCGCACGGCCUACCA
rnacentral:tRNA from 1 species